GUGCAGCAGUCGCGAAAACUGGCCAAUGCGCGAAAGCGUGAGCCGGUUAAUCCGAGUGAUCUCCCAUCGGAGAUCUUUUGUUAUGUUUACAACGCAUAGCGAAUAAUGAGAGGGCAAGACUGGUGCCAGCCGCCGCGGUAAAACCAGCUCUUAGAGUGGUGGGCGUGAUUAUUUGGCUUAAAGUGUGCGUAGCAGGACAGCGUAAGUCCCCCGUGAAAUGCUAGGUCUUAAGCUUAGCGCGGGCGGGGGAUACUGUGCGUCUUGGGACCGGGAUAGGUACAAGGUAUGCAUUGGGUAGGGGUGAAAUCCGAUAAUCCAAUGCAGACCACCGGUGGCGAAGGCGUUACACUGGAACGGGUCCGACUGUGAGGCACGAAAGCUAGGGUCGCGAGCCGGAUUAGAUACCCGCGUAGUCC
rnacentral:rRNA from 1 species